GACGAACGCUGGCGGCGUGCUUAACACAUGCAAGUCGAACGGAAAGGCCCUGCUUUUGUGGGGUGCUCGAGUGGCGAACGGGUGAGUAACACGUGAGUAACCUGCCCUUGACUUUGGGAUAACUUCAGGAAACUGGGGCUAAUACCGGAUAGGAGCUCCUGCUGCAUGGUGGGGGUUGGAAAGUUUCGGCGGUUGGGGAUGGAUUCGCGGCUUAUCAGCUUGUUGGUGGGGUAGUGGCUUACCAAGGCUUUGACGGGUAGCCGGCCUGAGAGGGUGACCGGCCACAAUGGGACUGAGAUACGGCCCAGACUCCUACGGGAGGCAGCAGGGGGGAAUAUUGCACAAUGGGCGGAAGCCUGAUGCAGCAACGCCGCGUGCGGGAUGACGGCCUUCGGGUUGUAAACCGCUUUCGCCUGUGACGAAGCGUGAGUGACGGUAAUGGGUAAAGAAGCACCGGCUAACUACGUG
rnacentral:rRNA from 1 species